GACGUAGGGUGCAAGCGUUGUCCGGAUUUACUGGGCGUAAAGAGCGCGUAGGCGGCUCGUUAAGUGAGAAGUGAAAGCUGUGGGCUCAACCCACAAACCGCUUUUCAUACUGGCGAGCUGGAGUGAUGCAGAGGUGGAUAGAAUUCCCGGUGUAGCGGUGAAAUGCGUUGAUAUCAGGAGGAAUACCCGUGGCGAAGGCGGUCCACUGGGCAUCAACUGACGCUGAGGCGCGAAAGCGUGGGUAGCAAACAGG
rnacentral:rRNA from 1 species